UUUUUUUUUGGACCGCCACCCAGGUUCAAAGGGAUCAUGAGAUUAUUCAUGCUAGAAACAUCCGUGUGCAGCCACAAGCUAUUAUGGGCUCUAGCAUAGUUGAUUAAGUUGUGUGAACUCUUACAGUGGUAGACCAGCAGAUGUAGGGGAUGUAGGUGUACCGGUCUACCCAUCGUAAGGUGCUAACGCUUCUGAAAGACUAUGUCUCGGUCAUCCGUUUCUCAAACAUUAUGUAGUGCGAGAAUCAAGCGGAGGCGAUCGGGUCUUGUGGGGAAAAGUGCGCAAACCUCUGCAGAGUGUACAAUCUAAUCAUGGUUAGCCGUGUCCCCGGUUAUGGACAUCUUGAGUAUCUAGUACUUGGAUUAUCAUGUGAAUCUCAUCAUGUUACUUUAAUUAAUCUUGUUGGGUUAAUGAUGAUACUUAAUUGGGAUUGAGAUGCUGUCAACCAUCUCAAUGUUUAACAACCACCAUGAUAGUUAAAUAAAAUUUAUUUCUUUGCAGUAGGGAAAAACUGGCUUUUCGCAAAAUUGUAACCAUAGAGCUUUCUACCAGCCAUAUAUGCAUGUAGUAUACCAUUAUUAUGUUCAUUAUUCUCUAUGUGUUACAUUGCCAGCAUAUUCCAUGUGCUGACCCGUUUCCGGGCUGCAACGUUUCAUGUUGCAGACUUUUCAGAUGACGAGUAAGGUGCCUUAGGUCGUGGUCUUAUACUCAGUGAUGCCGUUGGAGUUGAUGGACUCACUAUUCUUCCAAGUCUUCCGCUGUUAUCGUAUUAGAUGGCCUUAAGCCAUAUUUAUCAUACUUAUUCUCUUUUGAGAUAUUAGUUGUAAUAAGUGUGUGGUUGCUACUCUGUUAUAAAUCCUCCAUUUGUACUGUGCGUGUCAGCAUUACUAAUCCAGGGAUGACACUGGUGCACAGCAGCACAGACUGUUUGAGGUCUGGUCGCUACAAAGGUGGUAUCAGAGCACACGCUGACUGUAGGACACGACCACUAAGCUUAAACCCUAGAACACUACUCUCUUCUCAUUUCUGACUCCUCUCCACUUUCUACUCUUUUAGGAAUGGCGAAUGCAAGGAACAAGUUCAUGCAACCAGAUGAAGAUACACCUUUUGGACGACACUUGAAGGAAGUCACUAAGUACUUGAACAUAUGAAUACCAAGCAUCACGGGAACCUACAACGCCACACUACCAGAAGAGGAGAGCUGGAAGAUUCAAGUUCAAAUUCCAGGAAUGACGUUUACACCAGUCACUGAGCCUAUAAAGUUUUCUUUUGAAGCACCAACUUGGAGUUUAGGGAAGAGCAUGGCAGCCCACAUCUCUAUGGGACGCAUUGGAGAAGUCUACCACAGGGAGCUUAAGGAUACUAUUUAUCAGUUUUGUGGACGCCGAGACGAGCAAUGGGAGAUGAUCAGCACCAAGAAGGAUGGAUCAAUUGCAGAUUUCAUCCAGGAGCAAAACCAACACAUUCGUCGCCAGGAGAACCAGAUGUGCUCAGACAUGAUAGAUCUGAAGAAGGCAUUGACCAAGAUCAAGGAGUUGGAGGAAGAACUCAAGGCUACACGCGAGGAUUAUUUGGAGGAAAUCGUCGCACUAGUAGGGAAGAAUGACGACCUGGGGAAGAAGAUUGGAGUAUUCAUGAGAAAUCCAGCAUCAAAAGGAGAAGAUGAUGAAUGCGCUUGCCCGGAUAACUACAUCAUCAUCGACGACACCGACUCGGAACCAAGUGAAGAUGACUUUGUUGAUGAAGCUGGAGCAGAUAUCAUGGAGUCUUUGACUGAUCAAAAUUUCUAGUAGACCACCAUAUCAGUAGUAGUAUUCCCCCAUGCAUAUAGUAUAGUUCGAGCACUUUUGUAACGCUAGUUAGAUUGAUUGUAUGCAUUGUUUGAUUUGAUUGAGUGAUAUUGAUUGUGUUUGUCUCAUGAGCAUAUGGGUAGUGUUUUCUCUCUAAACCUCAUUCUAUUCUAAACUCUCAUCUUUUCUAAACCUAUCAGAUGCCUCCGAGACGCGACACCGGAUUUGUUUUCCCACCGGAGAUCACACAGUUGAUUCAGCAGCAGAAUGCCCUGAUGCAAGUGUUAGUACAGAACCAAGGCAACAACAACAACAACCCACCACCACCACCUGUUGAUCACUUAGCCCGUUUCUUGAGGCUAAAUCCGCCGGUGUUUUCCAGCAGCACCGAGCCGAUUGUUGCAGAUGAUUGGCUCCGCAAAGUUGGAAGGGAGUUGACCACUGCAGGAUGCACAGAUGCGGAGAGAGUGCGUUUUGCCGCACAUUAGCUUGAUGGACCCGCAGCAUCAUGGUGGGAGAAUUACACAGCCACACACCCUAUUGACACUGUCACAUGGGACCAGUUUCUGCAAGCUUUUCGUACAGCCCAUGUUUCAGCAGGAGCUAUGGCUAUGAAGAAGCUUGAGUUUCGCAACCUACGCCAAGGAGGACGCACCGUAGGCCAGUAUGUGGAGGAUUUCAGUAAGUUAGCACGUUAUGCACCAGAUGACGUUGCUACAGAUGCAGCCAAGCAGGAGAAGUUUCUAGAAGGACUGGAUGAUGAGCUGAGCAUGCAGCUAAUGGUAGCAACCUUCAAUAACUACCAGGAGUUGGUAGAUAUAACACUCAUGAUUGAAGGGAAGCAGCAGCAGAUUGAAAACCGUAAGAGGAAGUAUGGACAAGGGAAGUACAAUUCUGGAGCUCAGCAGAAGCCACGUUUUACCCCAAAAUCGGGAGGACAGUUUCAGCAUACCCAUGGAGGAGGUAGUUCGCACAACCAUAAUGGCUCCAAGAAUGGUAAUGGGAACGGAGGAAGCAACGGACAGAACCGUACCAACCCUUCAACCCCAGCUAAGAGAGACUUGAGCCAAGUCACUUGCUUUAAGUGCCAGAAGACUGGACAUUACGCCAAUGAAUGUCCUGAAGCCCAGAAUGGUAAUGGAAAUGGAAGCUCUGGGAAGAAGCCGAACCCUUUCAACAAAGGACAUGUGAACCACGUUUACGUGGAGGAGGUUGAAGCACAGCCUGAUGCAGUAAUAGGUAAGUUUUUGGUUAAGUCAUUUACUGCACUCGUUCUUUUCGAUACUGGUGCAUCGCAUUCAUACAUAUCAAGGGGAUUUUUGGAUAAGUAUAAGUUGCCCACCAAGGUUCUUAAAACACCUAUGUUAGUAAGUUCACCAGGAGCAGAGUAUAUGGCAAGCCAAGGAUGUUUUCAGAUGCCAUUGGCCAUAGGUAGGCAUGUUUUCCCCUCAGACCUAAUAGUUUUGGAGUCGCAAGGUUUGGAUGUAAUUUUGGGUAUGGAUUGGCUAUCGAUGUAUGGAGGAAACAUCGAUUGCGCCAGUAAGACGAUUUCGCUUACCACCCCAGAAGGAAGAAGGAUUAAGUAUGUAUCUCGGCAUAUGCCGAAGAGAACUCAGGUGAAUUCCUUAUCAGGAGUUGUACAGGAGGAAGUACCAGUGGUGAAGGAUUACCCGGAUGUUUUUCCAGAAGAGUUGCCAGGCAUGCCACCGGAUAGAGACAUUGAGUUUCUGAUUGAACUUUUGCCAGGCACAGGACCAAUAUCUAAGAGACCGUACAGGAUGCCCGCAAAAGAUUUGGAGGAAAUUAAGAAGCAGAUUAAGGAGUUACUGGAUAAAGGCUAUAUUCGCCCAAGUUCGUCACCUUGGGGAUCACCAGUACUUCUAGUGGAGAAGAAAGAUGGAUCGUUGAGGAUGGUUGUUGAUUAUCGAGGAUUGAACGAAGUGACCAUCAAGAACAAGUACCCACUGCCGAUGAUGAAUGAUUUGUUUGACCGCUUACAAGGAGCUAAGGUAUUUUCCAAGAUCGAUCUAUGAUCAGGAUACCACCAGUUGAAGAUUCGAGAGCAGGAUAUACCUAAGACGGCUUUUACCACCAGGUAUGGGCUGUAUGAGUAUACCGUUAUGUCAUUUGGUCUGACUAACGCACCUGCCUAUUUUAUGAACCUGAUGAACAAAGUGUUUAUGGAGUUUUUGGAUAAGUUCGUCGUGGUGUUCAUUGAUGAUAUUUUGGUCUACUCAAAGAAUGAAGAGGAGCAUAAGGAGCAUUUGCGUUUGGUACUUGAGAAACUCAGAGAACAUCAGUUAUACGCCAAAUUCAGCAAGUGUGAGUUUUGGCUGAAGGAAGUUGGAUUCCUCGGACAUGUUAUAUCCGGAGAAGGAAUAGCAGUAGACCCCGCCAAAGUUGACACAGUAACAAGUUGGGAAUCACCCACGUCAGUUGGAGAGAUCCGGAGUUUUCUUGGACUUGCAGGAUACUACCGGAGGUUCAUUGAGAAUUUCUCAAAGAUUGCAAAACCCAUGACUGAGCUAUUGAAGAAGGUCACCAAAUUCAAUCGGACUGAGGAAUGUGAAGCUAGUUUCCAAGAGUUGCAGAAACGAUUGGUUACAUCUCCAGUGUUGAUUCUGCCAGACCAACGCAAGGAUUAUGAAGUUUAUUGUGACGCUUCACAUCGAGGACUUGGAGCAGUGCUUAUGCAGGAAGGAAGAGUUGUUUCAUAUGCUUCACGACAACUUAAACCCCAUGAGAAGAAUUAUGCCACGCAUGAUUUGGAAUUAGCAGCCGUAGUGCAUGCGUUGAAGACAUGGAGACAUUUUCUCAUCAGAAACCCUUAUGAGGUGUACACGGAUCACAAGAGUUUGAAGUACAUUUUCACGCAGAAGGAGUUGAAUCUCAGGCAGAGGAGAUGGUUGGAGCUCAUUAAGGAUUAUGAUAUGAGAUUUCAUUAUCACCCAGGGAAGGCUAACGUAGUAGCAGAUGCGUUGAGCCGCAAGAGCCAUGUCAACACACUCAUGACAGGAGAGUUACCCCAGGAGUUAGCCGAGGAUCUUCGCGAGCUAUGUUUGGAGAUAGUUCCAAGAGGCUAUUUAGCAACGUUGGAGAUUCAGUCUACCCUGAUGGAAAAGAUCAGAGAAGCUCAGAAGACAGAUAAGGAAAUUAACGAGAUAAAGGAAAAGAUGAGAAAAGGAAAAGCCAAGGGAUUUCGUGAGGAUGAGCACACUACCUUAUGGUUUGAGGACCGCGUUUAUGUGCCUAAUGAUCCGGAGAUCAGGAAGUUGAUCUUGGAAGAGGCCCAUGAUUCACCGUACUCGAUUCACCCAGGAAAUACCAAGAUGUAUUUGGAUUUGAAGGAUACUUUCUGGUGGACCGGUAUGACGAAGGAUAUUGCGGAGUAUGUAGCAGUUUGUGAUGUAUGUCAGAGAGUGAAGGCAGAACAUCAGAAGCCAGCAGGAUUGCUACAACCAUUGCCGAUACCCGAAUGGAAGUGGGAUAAACUAGGCAUGGAUUUUAUCACGGGAUUGCCCAGGACUCGUUCAGGCUAUGACUCAAUAUGGGUUGUAGUCGAUCGUUUGACGAAAGUAGCUCAUUUCAUCCCAGUGAAGACCACCUACAGCAGUGCUAAGUUGGCAAAGAUAUACAUGACCAGAAUCGUAUGUUUGCAUGGAGUUCCGAGGACCAUUGUAUCAGAUAGAGGAACCCAGUUUACCUCGAAGUUUUGGAAUCAGUUACAUGAAACUUUGGGAACCAGGCUAGAAUUCAGUAUAGCCUUUCACCCACAGACAGAUGGACAGACCGAGAGAGUCAAUCAGAUUUUGGAAGACAUGUUGAGAGCUUGUGCGCUAGAUUAUAGAUCUAGUUGGGACGACAAUUUGCCAUAUGCAGAGUUUUCUUACAACAACAGUUAUCAAACCAGUUUGAAGAUGGCCCCUUUCGAAGCUUUGUACGGAAGGAGGUGUAGAACACCAUUGUUAUGGGACGAAGUUGGAGACCGUCAGUUGUUUGGACCAGAUUUGAUUAAAGAGUCUGAACAGAAAGUGAGGUUGAUUCGCGAUAGGCUCAAGGUAGCCCAGUCCAGGCAGAAGAGUUAUGCGGAUUCUAAACGUAAGGAGACAGUUCACGAAGUCGGAGACAGAUUUUAUCUUCGAGUAUCACCACUUCGAGGAGUGAAGCGCUUUGGAGUUAAGGGAAAGUUAGCGCCCUGUUUUGUAGGACCAUACAGAGUUUUGGAGCGAAUGGGAGAAGUUGCUUACAAGCUGGAAUUGCCUGAAGGAUUGUCAGGAGUUCAUGAUGUAUUUCACGUUUCCCAGUUGAAGAAGUGCCACGCAGAGAUGGUUGAGAUACCACUCAGAGAUACAGUGCCACUGGAAGCGAUUCAGUUGGAAAGUGAUUUGACCUAUGAGGAGAAACCAGUUAAGAUUCUUGAGUAUGCCAGCCGAGUCACCCGCAGCAAGGUUAUCAAGUUCUGCAAAGUUCAGUGGAGUCACCACACUGAGGAUGAAGCCACCUGGGAGCGAGAGGAAGAUCUACGGAAGAACCACUCUCACCUAUUUUCUAGCCAACCCGAAUCUCGAGGGCGAGAUUCAUCUUAAGGGGGUAGGUUUGUAACAUCCCAAAAUUUCAAUUUGGAAUGUUAUACAUUAGAUCAUCAUUGCAUAUCAUAUUUUAAUUUCAUUUUGGUUUGAUCCUAGAAAUUCUACGCAACUCAAGGACCCACGAAGAGAGUUGGGGAUUUCGUUAUUUUCGUAUUUGAGAUUUAUCAAAUUUUGAAAAUAGGAUCAUUUGGUUUUAUUUAUUUUAUCCUCAAUUAUUCCAAUUAUAAAAUAUGAGAGAGGGAAUAAAAUGACUUUCCCGAAAUAUAGGAAUAUUGAAGAUUUAAUAAAAAAUCAAAUAAGAUUUUAUUUCGGAGUUUUCGGAUAUUUUAUUUGAAUUUAGGAAAAAAGUGCAUUUUCCAAAGUUUCAUUUAGGCCCCAAAUAAAUGUUCAUCUUGUCCGGCUUCAUUUUAGAAGCCGGGGAAAAUUUAUUUCGGGUUUUUGAAGUCCGUUUGGUAUUUCUUUUAAUCAUUUUUUUGCGCGUAAUUAUUAAAAAAAAGAAACCGACUAUGGGUCGUAACCGGUCAGGACUCCGCCUGACCGGGGCUUUAUAUAGCAUCGAGCCGGCCCAGCCCAAGGCCAAACCCUAGCCACCUUGAGCCCCGCGCCGCCCCAGCCCGACCCCGUCGCCGUCGCCGCCUCGCCUCGCCAUCGACGCCGACGCCGAUGCCGCCGCCGUCGCCGCCGCCGCCGUCCCGCCGCCGGAGCCGCCGCCUCGCCGCAGCCGGAGGUAGCCGCCGGUUUUCUCGCGAAAAACCGUUUGGUUUUUCUCCGGUUUUUCAUCGGUUUUUUAGAUCCGUUUUUUCAGAUCGUUUUUUUUUGGUUUAGGUUAAUUAGCGAGCGUUCGCUCGGUCGUUCGUUUUAUUGAACGCGUUCAUCGUUUAGAUCCAGUUAACGAACGUUCAUUCGUUAAUCUGUUCGACGUUUUUCUUUUCUCGGAUUUAUUCCGCGAUUUUUCUGAUCAGAUUUUCGAACUGGUAUAACUUUUCGCUCGUUUAUCGGCAUCAGGCGAUUCAAGCGCCUAGAGUUUCGUCUCGAAAUUCUCUUUCCGUUUAACCAACUCAAACAAGUUUUCUGUUUCUGUAAAAUUUGACCUAGGUCCAUAUUAGUAAACGAAGUUUGUUUCUUUCGCCGUUUGACUUUCGUUGCUUCGUUCGAUUUGAUUCUUUUUGCAAACCGGAGUUCUUAAGUUGAACUUUCUGGUUAGUUAUCUUAUUUGAGUUUUACCCGUGCAUUAGAUGAGUACUUAUUGUCUUCUUGUUUGUUUACGAUAGAGUACCCGGAGUGCGCCGCUUGCUACUUCGAAUCGCUAGGUUUCGCGGAUCAUCAGCAAGGCAAGUAACACUUUGAUCAUACCCCUUUUACUACCCAGUUUUAUUGCAUUAGAUCAAUCCUCAAACAUUGCAUGAUUAGGAUCUAAUUAAAUUAUGGGUAUUGGGAAGUAGAAGAGGUAGUACCUAUCACCUGUUUCAUUAUCAAACCUUUGGGAUUUACUUCUACGUUUGCUUAUAUUGCUAUGCUAUGCUUGUAGACGUGGAUUGGGUUUGAGAGAUAUUCACGACAGAUGUGAGAUUGUUAAUUAACGGUUUACUUAAGGUGGCAACUAAAACUCAUAUCUGGGUGGAUUGAGGUACCUGGGUAUUACAGGAUUGCCUGUUUUUUUGGACCGCCACCCAGGUUCAAAGGGAUCAUGAGAUUAUUCAUGCUAGAAACUUCCGUGUGCAGCCACAAGCUAUUAUGGGCUCUAGCAUAGUUGAUUAAGUUGUGUGAACUCUUACAGUGGUAGACUAGCAGAUGUAGGGGAUGUAGGUGUAGCGGUCUACCCAUCGUAAGGUGCUAACGCUUCUGAAAGACUGUGUCUCGGUCAUCCGUUUCUCAAACAUCUUGUAGUGCGAGAAUCAAGCGGAGGCGAUCGGGUCUUGUGGGGAAAAGUGCGCAAACCUCUGCAGAGUGUACAAUCUAAUCAUGGUUAGCCGUGUCCCCGGUUAUGGACAUCUUGAGUAUCU
rnacentral:lncRNA from 1 species